rnacentral:rRNA from 1 species
UACAGAGGUCUCAAGCGUUGUUCGGAUUCAUUGGGCGUAAAGGGCGCGUAGGCGGCUCGGCACGUCCGUUGUGAAAUCGCCCGGCUCAACUGGGCGGGGUCAGCGGAUACGGUCGAGCUUGAGCAAGCUAGGGGGCAAUGGAAUUCCCGGUGUAGUGGUGGAAUGCGUAGAUAUCGGGAGGAACACCAGUGGCGAAGGCGGUUGCCUGGGGCUUUGCUGACGCUGAUGCGCGAAAGCGUGGGGAGCGAUCCGG